UGAUGGCCACACUGUCUCCUCCUGAGACUCAGUGAAGUUGAAGUGUUUGUGAUGAUGCAAUCUCCCCGCGGCUAGACGGAAAGACCCCAUGAACCUUUACUGCAGCUUUGCAUUGGACUUUGAACCGAUCUGUGUAGGAUAGGUGGGAGGCAGUGAAGCUAGGACGCCAGUCUUAGCGGAGCCAACCUUGAAAUACCACCCUGAUUUGUUUGAGGUUCUAACCUGGGAGCGUGAUCCGCUCCGGGGACCGUGCAUGGUAGGCAGUUUGACUGGGGCGGUCGCCUCCUAAAGGGUAACGGAGGAGUGCGAAGGUACGCUAGGCACGGUCGGAAAUCGUGCUGAUAGUGCAAUGGCAAAAGCGUGCUUGACUGCGAGUCCGACAAGACGAGCAGAUACGAAAGUAGGUCAUAGUGAUCCGGUGGCUCUGCAUGGAAGGGCCAUCGCUCAACGGAUAAAAGGUACUCUGGGGAUAACAGGCUGAUACCGCCCAAGAGUUCAUAUCGACGGCGGUGUUUGGCACCUCGAUGUCGGCUCAUCUCAUCCUGGGGCUGUAGCCGGUCCCAAGGGUAUGGCUGUUCGCCAUUUAAAGAGGUACGUGAGCUGGGUUUAAAACGUCGUGAGACAGUUUUGUCCCUAUCUGCCGUGGGCGCUGGAAGAUUGACGGGGGCUGUUCCUAGUACGAGAGGACCGGAAUGGACUCACCUCUGGUGUACCGGUUGUCACGCCAGUGGCACCGCCGGGUAGCUAUGUGGGGAAAGGAUAACCGCUGAAAGCAUCUAAGCGGGAAACCUGCCUGAAGAUAAGUCUUCCUGGAGGCCAGACCUCCCUGAAGAGUCGUUCGAGACCAGGACGUUGAUAGGUCGGGUGUGCAAGCGCUGUGAGGCGUUGAGCUGACCGAUACUAAUUGCUCGUGAAGCUUGAUCCU
rnacentral:rRNA from 1 species